rnacentral:rRNA from 1 species
AUUGAACGCUGGCGGCAGGCCUAAUACAUGCAAGUCGAACGGUAACAUAAAAGAAGCUUGCUUCUUUUGAUGACGAGUGGCGGACGGGUGAGUAAUAUUUGGGAAACUACCUGAUAGAGGGGGACAACAGUUGGAAACGACUGCUAAUACCGCAUAAAGCCUGAGGGUGAAAGCAGCAAUGCGCUAUCAGAUGUGCCCAAACGGGAUUAGCUAGUAGGUGAGGUAAAGGCUCACCUAGGCGACGAUCUCUAGCUGGUCUGAGAGGAUGAUCAGCCACAUUGGGACUGAGACACGGCCCAGACUCCUACGGGAGGCAGCAGUAGGGAAUAUUGCACAAUGGAGGAAACUCUGAUGCAGCCAUGCCGCGUGUGUGAAGAAGGCCUGGGUUGUAAAGCACUUUCGAGGGGAGGAAAAGGAUAGACGUUACCCUCAGAAGAAGCACCGGCUAACUCCGUGCC